AGUCACUGACAUUAGAUACCCCUGUAGUCCAGGGUGUAAACGCUGCAGACUUGGUGUUGGAAGUCCUUUGGGGGCAUUCAGUGCCGGAGAGAAGUUGUUAAGUCUGCUACUUGGGGAGUACGUCCGCAAGGAUGAAACUUAAGGAAUUGGCGGGGGAGCACCGCAACGGGAGGAGCGUGCGGUUUAAUUGGAUUCAACACCGUAAAACUCACCAGGGAAGACUGUUACAUGAAGGCCGAGAUGAAGACUCUGCUAGAUUUCAG
rnacentral:rRNA from 1 species